AGCGUGCGCAGGCGGUUAUGUAAGACAGAUGUGAAAUCCCCGGGCUCAACCUGGGAACUGCAUUAGUGACUGCAUAGCUGGAGUACGGCAGAGGGGGGAUGGAAUUCCGCGUGUAGCAGUGAAAUGCGUAGAUAUGCGGAGGAACACCGAUGGCGAAGGCAAUCCCCCUGGGCCUGUACUGACGCUCAUGCACGAAAGCGUGGGGAGCAAACAGGAUUAGAUACCCCGGU
rnacentral:rRNA from 1 species